ncrna:unclassified sequences RT-18 RNA
UGCCACUCGGCAAAAAUACGCCACUCAGGUGGGAGUUAGUAGGCCCAGAUACGGGCUCGAAAGCCCUCAAGGCUUAAAGAAAG